GUGAGUAACACGUGGGUAACCUGCCUGUAAGACUGGGAUAACUCCGGGAAACCGGGGCUAAUACCGGAUGCUUGUUUGAACCGCAUGGUUCAAACAUAAAAGGUGGCUUCGGCUACCACUUACAGAUGGACCCGCGGCGCAUUAGCUAGUUGGUGAGGUAAUGGCUCACCAAGGCGACGAUGCGUAGCCGACCUGAGAGGGUGAUCGGCCACACUGGGACUGAGACACGGCCCAGACUCCUACGGGAGGCAGCAGUAGGGAAUCUUCCGCAAUGGACGAAAGUCUGACGGAGCAACGCCGCGUGAGUGAUGAAGGUUUUCGGAUCGUAAAGCUCUGUUGUUAGGGAAGAACAAGUACCGUUCGAAUAGGGCGGUACCUUGACGGUACCUAACCAGAAAGCCACGGCUAACUACGUGCCAGCAGCCGCGGUAAUACGUAGGUGGCAAGCGUUGUCCGGAAUUAUUGGGCGUAAAGGGCUCGCAGGCGGUUUCUUAAGUCUGAUGUGAAAGCCCCCGGCUCAACCGGGGAGGGUCAUUGGAAACUGGGGAACUUGAGUGCAGAAGAGGAGAGUGGAAUUCCACGUGUAGCGGUGAAAUGCGUAGAGAUGUGGAGGAACACCAGUGGCGAAGGCGACUCUCUGGUCUGUAACUGACGCUGAGGAGCGAAAGCGUGGGGAGCGAACAGGAUUAGAUACCCUGGUAGUCCACGCCGUAAACGAUGAGUGCUAAGUGUUAGGGGGUUUCCGCCCCUUAGUGCUGCAGCUAACGCAUUAAGCACUCCGCCUGGGGAGUACGGUCGCAAGACUGAAACUCAAAGGAAUUGACGGGGGCCCGCACAAGCGGUGGAGCAUGUGGUUUAAUUCGAAGCAACGCGAAGAACCUUACCAGGUCUUGACAUCCUCUGACAAUCCUAGAGAUAGGACGUCCCCUUCGGGGGCAGAGUGACAGGUGGUGCAUGGUUGUCGUCAGCUCGUGUCGUGAGAUGUUGGGUUAAGUCCCGCAACGAGCGCAACCCUUGAUCUUAGUUGCCAGCAUUCAGUUGGGCACUCUAAGGUGACUGCCGGUGACAAACCGGAGGAAGGUGGGGAUGACGUCAAAUCAUCAUGCCCCUUAUGACCUGGGCUACACACGUGCUACAAUGGACAGAACAAAGGGCAGCGAAACCGCGAGGUUAAGCCAAUCCCACAAAUCUGUUCUCAGUUCGGAUCGCAGUCUGCAACUCGACUGCGUG
rnacentral:rRNA from 1 species